UGUAAACGGAGGAGCUACAAAAAUGGCAACGUCGAAGAAAAGCACACCGUGGUCGACCGAGGAGGUGACGACGUUCCUUAAUCUCAUUGGGGAUGAUAAAAUCCAGCGGGAGCUCGACGGAACAACGCGAAAUGUGAAAGUGUUCCAGGAUGUCUCUGCACAGAUGUCCGAACGCGGAUUUUCGAGGACUUUCCUGCAGUGUAGGGAAAAACUCAAAAAGAUGAAGAGUGAAUAUCGCCAAGUAAAGGACAACAAUAACACGAGUGGUGCGGGUAGGAAACAAUGGAAGUGGUUCGACUUGUUGGACCAGAUUAAUGGUCAUAGACCGGCCAACGUUGGGAGGGAGGGAGGGAGGCCUGGACUCUGCAACGGCUUUACUGGAGUCCCUGCAAGGUACGCUCACUAAUAACAAAGAAGUCUAUUUUAUCCUUACAUUAAUGUUCGACAACCCAUGCUUUUAUGGAGCCCCGAAGAGCUACAUAGCUAGCUAAGGCAGAUAGCCUUAGCUAGAGCUAUUGUUUGCUAACACCAUAUGUGCCAUUGUGUACGUUCAGUUUUUCUUUUCUAUAGUUGUUGUUGCUAUUUAGUAUUGUGCUGCAGUAGUUUGUGGAAUUAACAAGUCAUUUUGCUGUUCUAAAUGAUUACAUUGGGACUCGUGAGGAGGAACAUUCCCGAACAACGGGUGAUGGCAGUGUUCCGUCCACAACAUCGUCAUCGAAUCCAGAACGGACCCCAGCUCGACCACAGACACUAGCCGAAGAACCGACACCAACUCAACCACCAACGCCGAGUGCCAUCACGACACUGCAGCGUGUGGUUCUAGGCAAGAGGAAACGAGGAGGAGAGGAUCGGGCCCAGCAGGAACGGCACCAUGAACAGCACAUGGCCCAGCAGGAACGGCACUUGGACUGGGCCAAAGUGUCUGCUGAGCGGAGAUGGGAGUUGAGAAGGGAGGAGGCUGCUCAAGCAGAGACCUUCAACCUAGCCUUCCUGCGCACUCUUGGCGAGGUGCUAGGGGGACUGGGCAGCCGACGUGGCCCGUCUCCUCCGUGAUACUUAAAAUAACCUUAAUAGUUAUUGUACAUAUUAUAUAUUUGUUAUCUAGUUAAUUUUUAAAUGCAACAUUUGUACUUUCUUGUUUAUUUAUUUUCUUUUAAAAUGUUCAUCGUAUUUUUAUUUUUACAAUGCGAUGUAUAUUUACGCUGGCUGCAAUACAGUUUUACAUUUUUUAUUUGUAUUGUUUAAUGGCAUGCCUUUUUGAUACAACAUUUUUUUUGUAUUUUUAUACUGCCAUCAAUAAAGUACUUAUUUUAUUUA